AACCACCAGUGGCGAAGGGGGACUCUUUGGGUCAGUAACUGACGCUGAGGAGCGAAAGCGUGGGGAGCGAACAGGAUUAGAUACCCCUGGUAGUCCACGCCUAAACGAUGAGUGCUAAAGUGUUAGGGGGUUUCCGCCCCUUAGUGCCGCAGCUAAACGCAUUAAGCACUCCGCCUGGGGAGUACGGUCGCAAGACUGAAACUCAAAGGAAUUGACGGGGGCCCGCACAGCGGUGGAGCAUGUGGUUUAAUUCGAAGCAACGCGAAGAACCUUACCAGGUCUUGACAUCCUCUGACAAUCCUAGAGAUAGGACGUCCCCUUCGGGGGCAGAGUGACAGGUGGUGCAUGGUUGUCGUCAGCUCGUGUCGUGAGAUGUUGGGUUAAGUCCCGCAACGAGCGCAACCCUUGAUCUUAGUUGCAGCAUUCAGUUGGGCACUCUAAGGUGACUGCCGGUGACAAACCGGAGGAAGGUGGGGAUGACGUCAAAUCAUCAUGCCCCUUAUGACCUGGGCUACACACGUGCUACAAUGGACAGAACAAAGGGCACGAAACCGCGAGGUUAAGCCAAUCCCACAAAUCUGUUCUCAGUUCGGAUCGCAGUCUGCAACUCGACUGCGUGAAGCUGGAAUCGCUAGUAAUCGCCGGUAUCCAGCCUAAAAACCGCCCGGGUCCG
rnacentral:rRNA from 1 species